AGUUGCCUACCCCUGACUUAAUAUUUAGAGAUCAAUCCCGACUCUUUUCAGAUUUAGAUUUAAAAGCAAGUUUGGCAUAUUUAUCCUAUGGACACAAGGACUCCUUAAACAGGUUUCAACCUUUUCAAGUUAGAAAUCCUCAAGGCUGGGAUGAGUCCCAGUGCCCAUGAGUCCCAGUGGUCCAUCAGCCAAGGUGUGUGCUCCAUCGGCCAAGCCAUGAUUCAAACCUAAAGCAAGACCCACUGCAGUUGUCCCAGAAUGAAUUGGUUAUACAAGUCAACUGGGAUGGAUCAUGUUCUGCUUUAAUGUCACAAUUUUCAGAUAUGAGUCCAGUUCUGCUAAAAACAGCUGGUCUACAAGACAAAUACAAGAGAAAUGGCACUGCUAGAUUUCAUCUUUCUGUCACAGAAUAUCCUACGCGGAUGGAAUGCCUUUGCAGGGAAGAGCAGAAGUCCUUUAAUGGGUGAAUCCAGAUCAGAUACUCACAACUAGUGAAUGUGUAAGUGCUGUUCACAAAUUAACAAUGAUCAACAGCAGAUCACAGAGUAGGACAGCAAGUACAGUCAAGAGUGGAAAUAAUAGGGAUGAUUCUGUUCCAUUGUAUACAAUUCAAGAAUACUUGAAAAUGAUGUUUCUGUAUGUGAAGAAGAACAUCUAGCACCUAAUCUAUCAAAGGAUUUUUGUAGAUCUGCCGGGGGGGGGAAU